rnacentral:rRNA from 1 species
ACGGGUGAGUAAUGCUUCGGAAUCUACCCAGUAGUGGGGAAUAACCAACCGAAAGGUUGGCUAAUGCCGCAUACGACCUACGGGUGAAAGCAGGGGAUCGUAAGACCUUGCGCUAUUGGAUGAGCCGAAGUCGGAUUAGCUAGUUGGUAGGGUAACGGCCUACCAAGGCGACAAUCCGUAGCUGGUCUGAGAGGACGACCAGCCACACUGGGACUGAGACACGGCCCAGACUCCUACGGGAGGCAGCAGUGGGGAAUAUUGGACAAUGGGGGCAACCCUGAUCCAGCGACGCCGCGUGUGUGAAGAAGGCCUGCGGGUUGUAAAGCACUUUUAGUGGGGAUGAAAAGCUCAGGGCUAAUACCUCUGGGUCUUGACCUAACCCACAGAAAAAGCACCGGCUAACUCUGUGCCAGCAGCCGCGG